CAAAGUAAAAUUCUAUAAUUUUUCACACAAAAAAAUAAAUAAAAUAUAUACUUCAAAAAUAUAUUAAUUUUUAAAUGGUAAAGUUACUUUUGGCCCACCUUGUACAAUGGUCUAAAACAUCUAUAUAUGUAACAGGCACCUUAUUUCAUGAACAACUGUUGUAAACGCUGACUUAUGUCAGUUGGUUAGAGAAGUGGUAAUAUCACUGCCUUAGUUGAAACCAAGGUUAGAUGCUGUUCGGACCACCUCACCACUAAUCAUAUAGUCAAUAGGUGCGGGCCUCAAAUCUCAUAUUUUGGUCCUUCUUCACCCCUAAAUUUCUCCCUUUUAUAAUUGAAUAGUGCUGCGAAUGUGUUGAAGCUAUGAAUGCUAAUAAUAAUAAACAUGUGUUUCUGAAAGCCAAAAUUUGUAUUUCAAACCACCGAAGAUUUUUAAAGUUUUGCUGGGGUAGUUAAACAGAAAGUCGGUCUGAGUUUGCAACUGAAAUUCGAACUUUAGGUCAAAUAAGUGGAAAAAUUUUAUUGAAAUCGCUAAUUUUAUUUGGGGAUAUUUGUCAAAGCCAGCUGUUUUGGCCUGCAUAAACCUUGUUUCGGGAGGAGAGUGGGUUUGCAGCUAUAAUUAAUCUUGUUAGGAAGUUGCUAAAAGUGACAGUGAACCUUAUGCAUAGCUUAGAGCAGGGGUGCCCAAAAAGUAGAUCCCCAGAUGUUCUAGAACUACGGCUACCAUUAUGCUUUGACUUUAGAUGAUUUUAGAAUGCGUUUAGAAUGACAAAGCAUCAAGGAAGUUGUAGUUUUAAAACAUCUGGGAAGCUACCUUUUGGGUACCCCUGGCUUAGAGUACUUAGAGGAUAUCUCUGUUUUUAGGGUAUUGGUAUUUAGUAGGAAACAGUUGCCUUGAGGCGUAUUUUCAGAAUAAUUAUAUGACAUUCGUUGUUAGGGUUAUCUAGUGGCAGAAUUAAUUUGGAUUUGAUAUAUUGCCAGUAUGAUAUGAAGGUAGGAUCUUUAAAAUGAUGUGCACUGUGUUUGGAAACAAAAAAAAAUUCUUGUUGUUGUAUCACUUUACAACACAGCAAUGUCACAUAUCUUCAAGUAAGACUUGACGUAGCAUGUUAUUAUUUAGAACAACCAUCCAUAUUUUUUUUAAUUUAUACUUUCAACUGC